CGGGGCGUAGCGCAGCCUGGUAGCGCACUUGCUUGGGGUGCAAGUGGUCGCAGGUUCAAAUCCUGUCGCCCCGACCAUCG
rnacentral:tRNA from 1 species